rnacentral:misc_RNA from 1 species
GAUGAAGAACGUAGCGAAAUGCGAUACGUAAUGUGAAUUGCAAAUUCAGUGAAUCAUCGAGUCUUUGAACGCACAUUUCGCCCCUCGGUAUUCCGUGGGGCAUGCCUGUUCGAGCGUCAUUUAACCCCUCAAGCCUAGCUUGGUAUUGGGUGCUUGUCCCGCCUCUCGCGCGGCGACUCACCUCAAAGUCAUUGGCAGCCCGCAUCUCGCCGGCCGUGAGCGCAGCACAGACGCGCUCUUGGCAACGACGGAUCGGCUCUCCAAAAGCUUAUUUCAACCACUGACCUCGGAUCAGGUAGGGAUACCCGCUGAACUUAAGCAUAUCAAUAAGCGGAGGA